UUGCAUCAGUUUCCCUCACAAACUGGUGCCAUUAACCCCUACUCUCGGCACUCUGGCUUCUACCUUCUAGUCUGCACAUUUGCUUGACUUUUAUCUUAUCACCCUCCACACACCCACAGAAACACAAUUCUUUAAUUAUUUUAGCCUCUUGCUCAGUCUGCAAAUUGCUUUGUAUAGUAAUUAUCUGUUUACAUGACAGUUUUCAACUGGUCUAGUGGUUUUUAAUUGUUGUUUCACAAAUCCCUUGAGAAUCUGAUUAAGACAAUGGAUUCUGUCUCUGGAGACAUGAACAUAACUGCGCGCGCACAUGUACACACACACGCACACACACACACACACACACACCUCUCAUGCAUACAAUUCCAGGUUGCCUAAUGACUGACCUCUGUAGGAGAUAUUAGUUCUGAUGGUCAAUAUUUUCAGUUCUACCUGCCUUCCAGGCACAGGCACACUGGAAGAUUAUACUUCCUUGCUGUUUUGAGAUAAAUCACUGCUUUGGCCAAUGAAACGCGAGUGGAAGUGACGUGUGUGCAAGUUUUAAGAGCCUGUGUGCAAUUUUCCAUGCUUUCUUUUUUUGCUCUAACCAAAACUGCUCUGUCAGUUUGGGUUCCGGAGUGAGGAGAACAGAGCAGAGCACCUAGACCACGGCAGCAGACACGAAGAGAUGGUACUAGGAAUUUUUUUUUCUUUUUAAAUGGUUUCGUCUCAAUUUUUAAGAGGAGAUUCUGUAAGAUCUGCUACCAUGUUAUAAGAUAAUGAACUUCAUCCAGCCUCUGACAUGCAUUGGAUUCCUGCUUUCCCUGUGGUUUUGUUUUCCUCAUGCUGAAUAUUAAGACUUCAGAAUCCCAGGAAGCAAUUGCAUCUGAAUGAAAUAGUAAUGACAAAAUUUAUGAAGCAGAAAGUAGAGUAAUUCAUUCACCUAACAUGAGCCUAAUUUCAUAAAAUGGGGAAGGGUAAUUGCCAAGUUCUAUCCCCAAAUAAAGAUGGUCUGAGCUGCCAUGAAAUUUUUAGCUGCCAGAAGAGUACCCACUUUAGCAAAUAAUGAACAUGAAUACCUAAAGUUUUAGGAGUGCUUUUAGCUACAGGUAAUGAACAGAAAGUCUGACUAUAGUGACUUUAAAAAAACUAGGGAGUCUUUUUCUUCCAUAAUGAGAAGCCCAGAGUUAGCAGUGCAUGGCUUGUUCAGCAGAUCAGUGAUGCAAGGGUCUGAGAUCUCCUUGACCUUGUUUUCACAAUUACAACAAAGCUGUUACAAUUUCUACAAUUACAUCCCUUUUCCAACAGGCAGUCAGAGGAUGCCGCAGGCAUAAAGGGAAUUGCCAAUAUGCAAAAGUAAAAGUUUUAUCAGGAAGUUCCAGAAAUAUGGUUUAUGUCUUUUUGGCCAUAGUUUUGUUACAGAGUCACUCUGAGAGGUUGAGAGAUGGCCAGAGAGAGGAGAUACAAAGAAAAAAAGCAAAGGUAGCUUCUGACAUCCAGACAUUGGUCAGAUAUUCAUAACCAGGCACUGAUGUUUUGAAGAGUUUUGUACUUUGAAUCUGAAAUGUCCACACAAAGCCCAUGUACUAAAGGCCUGGUCACCAACCCAUGAUACCUAUCAAGAGUGGGGAGAAACCUCUAGGAGGUUGGACUUAAUGGAAAUAAGUUAGGUCAUUGGUGAAAGUCCUUGGAGGGGAUCUGGGGAUUCGGGCCCCUUUCUCUUUUUGCUUUCUGGCCACCAUGAGGCGAGCAGCUCACACAAGGAUUCAAUGUGCUGCCACAUGUUCAAAGCAACAGAGCCAGGCAACUGUAAACUGGAACCUCUGAAACCAUGAGCCAAAUAAACCUUUCCUCCUUUAUGUUGAUUU